GUCUAAUUUAUAUUUGUGAUAUGCCUAUACUGCUGCUGGGGCUAUUGUAUGUACCUGCACAAAAUAAAUAAAAUAUAUAUGAAAAUCUUAAAGGACCACUAUAAGCACUCAGACCACUUCAGCUCAAUGAAGUGGUCUGGGUGCCAGGUCCAUCUAGGGUUAACCCUACCUGCUGUAAACAGGAAGAAAUUGCUAUGUUUACAUUAGGGUAACUCCAGUUUGUUUUCCUGGCACUAUAGUGGUCCUUUAAAUAAGUUGACUGACCCAUGUAACUUUCUCAUGCCAGGCCAAUAGAAGAUGUCACAAACAUGAGAAUUAAACUUCUUAGUCUCUUAGAGGGCUGAAGUAUGGAAAUCUUACUGGAUCCUGUUGGGUAAGGUUUAAUAUGUAUGGAAUAUAGAUUAAAUAUUAUCUGAUGAUAUUCACACACAGAGCUUUCAGGCCUCCAGGGACCCUGUAGUUCUUUGUUUCAAGUGGUGAUAUAAACACG